UUAGUACUACCUUCGUGCGGAAAUACUUAUCGCUCAAAUGGAUGUAUCUAAACAUAUUUCAGUUCUAGAUACAUCCGUUCGAGUGACAAGAAUUUCCGGACGGAGGGAGUAGUAU
rfam:Triticum aestivum genome assembly, contig: Triticum_aestivum_CS42_TGACv1_scaffold_434064_5DL